AUGCACCACGCGUACGCAGUGGUUCUAAGCGCGCCGCCCGCACCCAUCUGACGGCCGCUCGCUACGUUUUUUUCUCA
rnacentral:sRNA from 1 species